AGGCAAACUCCCUACCCGCUGUGCUAUCUCUCCAGCCCCCCAACAAAGAUAUUUCUGAUGUGCUAAACUAACCUGUGGAGGUAAAUUAGUAGCAUGGCUUAUUUAUCCAUUGCUGUCAAUCACCUUCAGAAUAGU
rnacentral:snoRNA from 1 species